CCUAGGUUACUGUACCAUGGUCAUCUCUGUUCUUCUCUUUGAUUUACUCCACCACCUCUUUCUACCUUCCGAUACCUUCUACAUCUAAUUCCUUCCACAACUUCCAUUUUCAUCUCCCAAAUUGAUUCGUCGUUUCCACUUUGUGUUCAGUGAAUGAAGUACCGAUGUUCCAUUUUCCAAGUUGAUUUCUUCUGCUUCAUCUCCAGUCUUUCUUCAUUUCUUUUUUUCUCCAUCUUCUGUGUUCGAUUAUUCUGUUGCCCUAUGACAUUGACAAUAGUUUCUUUUCCAUUUCUUCCUACGACUAUGGGAAGUCAUCUGCUUCACCAACAAAUCGACACCCAAAACAAUCCCGAUAACCCUCUGAAUUUCUCAAUAUGAUUUAAUUUUCGGGUAUUUGUUUUUGAAUCCCAGUUAUUUAUCUUUCUUGAUUCUAUAAACCAUAUAGGUGUGUAAAAUUAUAAACAACACGAUGAUUGCUUGAUUCCAAAAAUUGGGAUUUCUGGCUCAUGACUUCCGACUGUGGGCUUCUCAUCUUUAUCCAUGGAUUUUUGGUUCUCUAACUUGAGUGGGGCGUACUGCAGUCGUUGAUGAUGCCAAAGCCUAAAAAUCCAACAAGAUUUAGAUAUAAUAAUGAGUUGUUUACUGAUAUGGAUGAAGUUCUGGCCGCUACCCACUAGUGAUUGAAAUCAUGAUAGCUUAUGGAAAAUGUCUGUAGUUGAACUCACGAAAUUCAGAAGCGCUGUAUGAACCUUCAUGAAAAGAAAAUGGCAGCCUUACACCUGCUUCCACUCUUUUACUUGGUUAUGAGCUGUUGCAAUGUGGAACCAACCAUAUUGACUAUAUUUUGAAUGCCAUAAAUAUUUUUUUCAACAUACUUUUUUUUACUAUAUUUUGUAUCCACUAAACUACAUUUUGGACUAUAGUUGAUAACUAUCACAUUUUCUGCAGACAUUGGAUACUUGAUUGAAGAUUGAAAAGAACAUUUCAGGUUUCUGGUUGCUGGAUCUUGCUAAUUAACACCAUUCAUGAAGUGGAAGUGGAUAUGAUAAUCAAUAUUGUACGCCUACAAUCCGGACUAUAAUUUGCUUAUAAAAUUAAGGUAUGAUUCCUUUCUAUUUUUACUUUCAUUUAAUUCGAUGUCAUUUGUUUUUUAAGUGAUUUUAGGUCAUAGGCAAUGUUGUUUCAUUUGUUGUGUCUACCAAAGUACUGUUAUUUUCAAAAUAAAUAAAUAAAUAAAUAAAUAAACAACCCAUACCAUAACCUUAUAAAAAUUUGGAAUUAUUAUUGUUUUAUUCCAUAUGAUUCUGUUAUUAAAAAAAAUAAUUGUGUUUUUUUGGUGUUUAUCAACCACAUUGAUCUUGGAAACGCAAACUUCUCUAUUCAGUUGGUUUACAUCUUGGUCAACUUUCAAACCUACAUUACUUGGAAGUCAUUUAUUUUUGGUUACUAUGUUUUCUUUUUGAUGUAUUAUAGGUCAUAAAUUCAGAAAUAGCAACUACCUUUCAUUGAUUUUAUACUUCAUUUGGAAUUAUAAUUUUUGCUUAAUUUUAUACUUCAUUUGUACUCGGUUUCAAUAAUCUUUUUUGAUUUCUUUGAUUCUUUUUCAAUAAUAUGAUGUUUUAUGGUAUGUGGCGAAGUGCUUAUAUGUUCUUACUUCCCAUAAUAGCAACUUACUUCUAUUUUGUUACCAAUAAUAGCAAUAUGUAAAACGAAAUUUGUAAGAAUUUUACAAGUUUCAUGUUAUAUUUCUGUUAACGAUAAAAACAUGAAGUAUGUUGUUAUUUUUAAUUAUGCUUUCAUAUAAUCAUUUACUCAUUAGUAAUAUUAGACAAUGGAUAUAAUGACAUUCAGAUUAAAAUUUAUGUGGUUUGUUUUCGGGCUCCACAAUUGUUUGAUCUGCUACACAAUAUUUGGUAAGCUACCAAAAUGAAAAUAAUAUUUUCUUUUUUAAUUUUUGUUUUUUACUCUUUUAUGUUUUCUUUUGGGCCUAGUUUUGGAGGUAAUAUGUUUGAUUAAAGGGGCAACAACCCAUUAGGAGGGUUUUGAGUUUUUGAUGGCUAAUUUUGGGGAUUGGUGAUACUAGUCCAGGAGUGUGUUUCUGAGUUUAUCAACUUUAAAUUCCUUCCAUUCCACUUCUAUGAAUGGUAAAAUCCCUCAAACUUAGGAAUUGAAUGAAUUUUACAAAUUGAAUUCCGUCCA